rnacentral:lncRNA from 1 species
GGAUAACAAAAAAAACUGGAGAAGAUAAGAUAUCCAGAAACAACAGGAUUGCCUCAUAUCCUGACAUAAGAGAGGUACAAACUAAACAACUCGACAAGAGAGAGUGGUCAGUGGUUUCUAAACUAAAACCAAAUUAAAUACUACAACCUGAAAGAUUAAAUUAUCUUAGGAAUCUUGUACUAAUAAUUAAAUUUUGGGGAAACAGACUACACUCUGAGGUUGUGUUUGGAUGAGUAUAAAACCAAAUUAAAUACUACAACCUGAAAGAUUAAAUUAUCUUAGGAAUCUUGUACUAAUAAUUAAAUUUUGGGGAAACAGACUACACUCUGAGGUUGUGUUUGGAUGAGUAUUCUAGAGGGAGUGCAAUUUUUAGGAUAUUUAUCAUUUAAAUUGAUUUGGAGAGAAAUCCUUUAUUGGAUACUUAUUCCAAAGGAAUUUACGAAUCCCAAGGAUUUCUAUGAGCUAUUUUAUGUACCCCUAAAAUAGUGGAUUUCAAACUCCACCAUCAUGAAGGGAAUUCUAAC